rnacentral:lncRNA from 1 species
CAGUUUCCUUCAGCUUAGUCCCUUUAUUCAUCAGGGGUCACCACAGCGAAAUGAACCGACAACUUAUCCAGCAUGUGUUUUACACAGCGAAUGCCAUUCCAGCUGCAACCCAGAACUGGGAAACACCCAUACUCAUUUAAACACACACAUACACACACACACACACACACACUCAAACACUAUGGCCAGUGUAGUUGAUCAGUUCCCCUAUAGCGCAUGUGUUUGGACUGUGGGGGAAACCGGAGCACCCGGAGGAAACCCACACCAACACGGGGAGAACAUGCAAACUCCACACAGGAACACCAACUGACCCAGCCGAGACUCAAACCAGCAACCUUCUCUCUUGAUUUAUGUUUAUAUACAACAUAUCAUUAUAAUGCAUAGUCCUAAACCUGUUUUAAAAGUUUAUGUUUAUUCAGGGUUCAGUGUUGAGUAGACUGUAUUAUUUAGACGUGUAUGCUGUGUAAAUGCAGUAAAUGUAAAUCAGUGUGUUCUUCUCUGCAGUGUGUAUCAGGUGGUGGUGGAGGAAGAGCGCCCUCGUCGGGCUCGUGGUGGUGAAGCGGAGAUCCUGCGCUGUUUCCCGGUGCCGGUUCACUAUCAGAACGCCAGCAGUCUGAGCUCUCGCUAUUACUACAGCGCAGAAUUCCCAUCCGCCGGCGUCCCGUCAGCGCAACCCUUCACCAUCGGGGACAACCGAACAUACAGCGGCUACUGGAACCCUCCGCUACUGCCGCACAAGAGCUACAGCGUCUACUAUCAGGCGGUCAGCACCGCCAACGGGGAGACGAAAAUCGACUGUGUUCGAGUGGCCACCAAAGCUGCUAUCUUGGUCACUCAACUCACCACUCCUUACGUUCGCAUCGCUCCGGCCGCUGGAGACAACCAGCUAACAGGAGCGGCGACACACAAGCCCAGCGCGGUGGAGCCGGAGAAACAGACGGACCACACGGUGAAGAUCGCCGGAGUCAUCGCAGGAAUAUUACUCUUCGUCAUCAUCUUCCUCGGCGUGGUGCUGCUCAUGAAGAAACGGAGAACCUAUCAGUCCUACACUUAUUACCUGUAAGUAGACCAGCUCUGUUGAUGUUGUGCUGCAUGUGUGUGUGUCUGUGUGUAAGUGUGUGUGUUUCUGCUGCCCGUUUACCAUCU